rnacentral:misc_RNA from 1 species
CUUCAACACUGCUAUUUACAUUUCUUACAAAGAGCGUUCUAGAUGGAUUUUCCUCGAAAGGUUUCUGGCUACCAAUUGCAGCAUUAGAGUCUCCCAAAGGCAGAGUAUAAUUCCCAGCAUAUUCAGAAUUUUGUUGUCCUGUAGAGGAACCAUCUUCUCCUAGGUCCAUACCUCCAACACUACUGAAAAGAUCAAGAUCCUCAGUUUCAUCACCAGCAUAGGGUUGGCCAACAUAGUCUAGCCCAUCAGUAACCCCAGCAAGCAAGUCAUCAUCAUCAGGGAGAAGAUUUCCAAUAGCGUGGGCCUCAAGUUCUUUAAGGGACUCAAAACGUUCUUCUUCAUAGUGUGAGUCAGCUGCUCCAACAGAAUGGCCAUGUGGGGAAUAGUUGGUCGGUAAUCGCAAUUUUCUACUGAAUAACUCUGAUAAUGAGCUCGAGAAGAGACCAUUCUCACAUUGACCGCCCAAUACGCUAAUUUUGUCAUCUUCUGUUGGAUAAGAUGCCAAGUCAGUGCUGACAAUAGAUCUUACACCCACGUUAUAGUCAAGACCUCUAGGUAAGGAGUGAGAUGCUCUUUCUAUUCCAACAGCUCGUCUUUCUAUGAUACUGUUAACAUUUUUGUCUUGUUUUAGAUGAGAAUCAUGAUGUUCAAAAUGCUUCGUCGUCGGGGAGCCCAACGAAAUAUGAUUCUCAAAGGGUGAUGAACGAACAGCAGCUCUUUGUAAAGCAUCAUCACUUUUAAGACCAUGAUAGUUCUGCAGGCUAUUUGCCUUCCAAAAUCCAACUUGUCUCUCAUCACGAAAACAUAAUUCCUCGGAGAAGUAAGAUGAUGGGGAUAAACCCUGUAGCUCUCUCAUUUGAGAUGGUGUGAUGCAAGUUGGAUACAGAAGGAAUUAUAUAAUCGAAGUUAGAAUCCCUUCUUUCAAUCAGACGACGAAAUACAUCAACCUUGUAAGAAGCUUGAAGAAGAUCCUGUUUCGAAGUAUUUCUGUAGACAAGAGAAUGAUGAGAGAGAUAAAAAAUUGGAAGGGAUGAGAGGUAGCUAUAAAGAUUAGGAAGAGAGAACAGAGAGUUUAGGAAUAAAUUACGGCACAAGGCAAGGCAAGGUAAGGAAGGGAAAUUGAAGAAGAGAUCUAGGUAUCCGUGCCGUGCAGAAACCUCCAAAGCUUCGAUGCCUUUCUCUCUCUAUCUCUAUCCUCUUCUUCUUCUCUCUCCUGUUGUGUAUGUGUUUUUCCUACAUUGCACGUUAAAACCACCUGUAAUAUCUCUCUCUCCUCUUGCUAAAUUGUUUAUAAUUUUCUCCACAGCUAAACAUUCAUAAUCUCCGAUCGGAAAUUGGUGAAGUUUUCCGGCGGAGAUCCCAACGCCGGUUUCUGUUGGAGAAAUGGAGAGAGAGAGGAGAGAGAAAUAGUUUGUAGGAAAAACAAUAAAGUGGAUGG